UCACUUGCUUGUCUUUUGGCUUGGACUUCAUAUAACUAUCAUGCUUGCAGAAACCAAUUCUAAAAGUAGUCAAACUUCUUGACUUUUAGUGCUUGUAAGCUGUAAAGAGCAUUCGUUAUUUCCCUUGAGCAGAACUCCUUUCCUACCUUCACUUCUUUUAAAUAAAUUGGUUUUGCCUCAGAUAAAGUGCACUUGCAAACGACUUCCUCUCAAGCAUGAUCUUUUAACAGAAUAGAAACGAUGUAAUAAAUUUUGUUUUUAUAAGAAGAUAUUUUAUUGAUAUUGAAAUAGGCAUAGCCCAAGUACACAGGAAGUAUACAUGUGAUUACACCUAGUUAGGAACUAGAAACGGAUACAAUGAAAUCAUGAAAGUUGAGACCAUUAGAGUCAAUAGCAAUGGCCCACAUAAAUAAAGUCUUCUAGAAAAAACUCUUAAACUCUUCCAAAGAGCGCUAUCGAUCCUCAAUUUCAGUCAUUCCUUUCCCUCCAAAUUCACGAAAGUAGACAAAUGGGAGCCAUCUUCCACACAACUAUAAUCUAGGGUAUGCCUUUGAUCCCUCUCCAACUAGCUAGUAGGUCAACCACCCUUCUUGGCAUAACCCAUGCUAAUCCCAUUUUGCUGAAAAAGUAAUUCCAUGAGGCCCUUGCAAACUCACAAUGUAUAUAAGUAAAUGAUCCACUGUUUCACCACUAUUUUUGCACAUGCAGCACCAAUCAAUAAGGAGAAACCCACGUUUCCUUAGGUUGUCAAGGGUCAGGAUCUUCCCUAAGGAUGCAGUCCAAACCAAAAAAACAGCCUAAAGUGCUUUACUCCUCCAAAUGCUCUUCCAAGGAAAGUGAUUACUAGCUUGAGUAGUGAGAAUCUCAUAGAAAGAGCGUACAGAAAAUUUUCCUUUACUAGAAGGAGACCAAACAAGCUUAUCCACCACUAUAUCAUCAGUUCCAAGUGUGUAUAACAAGUUAAAGAAUUCAACAAAGACACCAACCUCCCAAUCAUGUGCCUCCCUAAUGAAACUGACAUUCCACUACUAUGAGCCAUUAGUAAUUUCCCUCAAAUCUUACUUAAAAAAAAAAAAAAAAAAAAAAAAGAACCCCUCAAAUCUGCCACCAAAGCAUCCUGUUCCCGUGCAAUUAUGAAAAUAGAGGGAUAAGCAUCCUUAAGAGCUGUAUCUCCAACCCAAACAUCAUGCCAGAAACAACACCCCUUCCCUCCCAAAAAAAAACUCACAUACUUCGUAUCAACCACCUCCUUCCAUAAUGCUUCUCUCUCAUAAUUAUAUCUCUACAGCCAUUUCCAUAAAAGAGCCUUGUUGAAGACCCUCAAAUUGCAAACUCCCAAUCCGCCUCCCCUCAUUGGAGAGCACACCUCCCAACCAACUAAAUGAAACUUAAACUCCUCGUCAAGUCCACUCCACAGAAAAUCUCGUUGAAGUUUCUCAUUUCUCAAUCCGUUAGGCAAUACUAACUGGGAGAGGAAAUAAUGAUAAGAAAUAUGUGGGAAGGUUUGAAAAUGUGCUUUUUAUUAAGGUAAUCCAACCCCCUUUAGA